rnacentral:rRNA from 1 species
UACGGAGGGUGCAAGCGUUAAUCGGAAUUACUGGGCGUAAAGGGCUCGUAGGUGGCCAACUAAGUCAGACGUGAAAUCCCUCGGCUUAACCGGGGAACUGCGUCUGAUACUGGAUGGCUUGAGAUUGGGAGAGGGAUGCGGAAUUCCAGGUGUAGCGGUGAAAUGCGUAGAUAUCUGGAGGAACACCGGUGGCGAAGGCGGCAUCCUGGACCAACACUGACACUGAGGAGCGAAAGCCAGGGGAGCAAACGGG